GCUAUUUCGAUUCAGAGAUAACGUUAAACGACAGGCAUUGCCUAUACAGGUUGAGCAGUUGAUGGAAUGGAAUGAUGUUGAGCGGGUGUUCCUUUGACAUUUCAAGAAAUGUAACCUUGAGUAUACAUCUUCAUAUGUAUAUCUCACACGUUUUCCGCUGCAAAACACUUUGAUUAGGAUAACUCUAUAUUAUGAAGUUGUUACACGUGUUAUUGGGUAAACCACCUUAAUCAGUUCUCUUUUAUGUGUAUGUUUUAUAAGUAUCCAAAUGAUCAUAUAUGAUCCUAGCUUUUUAUCUAUAAGUGAUAUUUUCAUAUACUUUAAUGUUAAGUAAUUGUCCA